CGGAGGGUGCGAGCGUUGUCCGGAAUCAUUGGGCGUAAAGGGCGCGUAGGUGGCCCGGUCAGUUCGUGGUGAAAGCGCGGGGCUCAACCCUGCGUCGGCCAUGAAUACUGCCGCGGCUGGAGCACUGUAGAGGCAGGCGGAAUUCCGGGUGUAGCGGUGGAAUGCGUGGAGAUCCGGAAGAACACCGGUGGCGAAGGCGGCCUGCUGGGCAGUUGCUGACACUGAGGCGCGACAGCGUGGGGAGCAAACAGGAUUAGACACCCUGGUAGUCCACGCCGUAAACGAUGGGCACUAGGCGCUUGGGGGAGCGACCCCCCGAGGGCCGGCGCUAACGCAUUAAGUGCCCCGCCUGGGGAGUACGGCCGCAAGGCUG
rnacentral:rRNA from 1 species